GAACGGGUGAGUAACACGUGGGUAACCUGCCCAUCAGAAGGGGAUAACACUUGGAAACAGGUGCUAAUACCGUAUAACAAUCGAAACCGCAUGGUUUCGUUUUGAAAGGCGCUUUACGGUGCCGCUGAUGGAUGGACCCGCGGUGCAUUAGCUAGUUGGUGAGGUAACGGCUCACCAAGGCCACGAUGCAUAGCCGACCUGAGAGGGUGAUCGG
rnacentral:rRNA from 1 species